rnacentral:rRNA from 1 species
UACGUAGGGGGCGAGCGUUAUCCGGAUUUACUGGGCGUAAAGCGCGUUAAGGCGGUUGGCAAAGUUGGUUGUGAAAUCUCAGGGCUCAACCCUGAAAUUGCGACCAAUACUGGUCGACUAGAGUGUGAGAGAGGAAGGUGGAAUUCCCGGUGUAGUAGUGAAAUGCGUAGAUAUCGGGAGGAACACCAGUGGCGAAGGCGGCCCUCUGGCUCAUAACUGACGCUGUAGCGCGAAAGCGUGGGGAGCGAACCGG